rnacentral:rRNA from 1 species
GACGAACGCUGGCGGCGUGCUUAACACAUGCAAGUCGAACGGAAAGGCCCUGCUUUUGUGGGGUGCUCGAGUGGCGAACGGGUGAGUAACACGUGAGUAACCUGCCCUUUACUUUGGGAUAACUUCAGGAAACUGGGGCUAAUACCGGAUAGGAGCUCCUGCUGCAUGGUGGGGGUUGGAAAGUUUCGGCGGUUGGGGAUGGACUCGCGGCUUAUCAGCUUGUUGGUGGGGUAGUGGCUUACCAAGGCUUUGACGGGUAGCCGGCCUGAGAGGGUGACCGGCCACAUUGGGACUGAGAUACGGCACAGACUGAUACGGGAGGCAGCAGUGGGGAAUAUUGCACAAUGGGCGGAAGCCUGAUGCAGCAACGCCGCGUGCGGGAUGACGGCCUUCGGGUUGUAAACCGCUUUCGCAUGUGACGAAGCGUGAGUGACGGUAAUGGGUAAAGAAGCACCGGCUAACUACGUG